rnacentral:tRNA from 1 species
GACCGCGUAGCUCAGUUGGAAGAGCACUGGGCUAGUAUUCCAAAGGUCGUAGGUUCGAAUCCCACCGUGGCCG